CCUGAUCACAGAAGAGGCAGCAGCUCCUUUGGUGACCCAUUUCUGCAUUGUGGCUUUUUGUUCCUGAAAGCUUGACUUGAAGGCUCUUUCUUCAGCUUUCCCAGUGAUUCAAAAAUUUGUACUAACUGGCCAUUCCCUCCAGUGAGAAGGAAGGACGUCCUACAACUGGUCCAAAACAAACCUUUCCAUCCGGGCAUGGCUAUGCUAGGUACCAUGUGGGAUAUAAAGAAGACAUACACAGCUCCUGCUUUUAAGAAAUUUACGUCUUGUCUUGGGAGAUAAGACAAAUGAAAAGGAAGCGGAUGAUCUGUUGUAGAAGAGAUAACAGCAUACACCCAACAUGUAUAUGAUUAAGUUAUAAAAUGUAAACCCAUAGGAAAUGUUAUGAGGUGUCAUUAUUGAUGUAGAUGAAAACAGAGCUGACCACACGAGUGUAAAUAAAACAGAACCCUACUUCACUCUUUUUACCCUCCUUCAAUAUUGGCUACCACCAUUCUCAAGUUGUUACUGUGAGAUUAACUGGCAAGUGUUUAUCCUUAACAUAAGUGUGAAGGGAGCCCUACGAAGUGGUUUUGUUAGUAGUCUCAUUUCUCCUACAAAAGUGGUAUGCUCAGGCUUAAGUUGAAAUAUGUCUACACUCACCUGUCAUUUGGGAAUGUCUCUCUUGGAAUGCAAUGCGACCUGUAUCACACAGCCAGUAAGAGGCAGAGUCAGGAGUUGAACCAAGCAGUCUGUCCCCAAAGCCUAUAGGCUUAGCCGCUGCCUUCAGGAAAGAAAAGGGAAAAUAACCCCUGCUGAGUAGUUACUAUGUGCCAGGCACUCUGUUAAGCACUUUCACAAACACUAUUUCAUUUAGACAAUACUUAGAAAUAGCUGUUAUAACCCUCUCCCCCUCCAUCCCCCGCCCCGUUCUGUAGAUGAGGAACAAAACAGAGGAUCAGAGAGGUUAAGUAAGUUACCUAAAGUCACAACAGCUGCUAAAUAGCAGAGAUAGGAUUCAAACCCAAGACUUUUUGACUCCAAAGCGCAUGCCUGUUCUAUCAUUUCAGGUAAUAAUGGCAAACAUCUUUCAAAACAUUGUCGUGAGACACUAAUAAAAAGAGUUUGGUGGUGUUGGGAGUGUACACCCUCUGCUAGCCUGGCUCCGUACUGCGCUUGUGUUUGUUAGCAAUUCCACUCGGACUUUUCUCUCUAACCCCCAUUGUCUCCCUUCUGGGGUCCUUUCCUACCCUGUGGUUUCCUUUU